rnacentral:lncRNA from 1 species
AAAGGUGACGAGAUGAGACCCCCCGCAAGGUUUCCCGCGCGGGGCACCCGCCUGUCGAUAAUGUCUCAUACCAGUUACCGACAAGGGCUCCACCUGCGUUGCUCUUCGAUUCCGUGGUUGACCCCCCGUGCGAAUCUGGCCCCCUACUUGAACCACGUCGACUCCUUGACUUCGGUUGUCCAGUCUCGCGGAAAUAACGAUACGCUCGCACGGAAAAAAGACCUACGAAUGCCACCGGUACGUCGUCACCCUGUCGUGGGGUGCAACGACGAGCAUAACCGAGCGCGUCGCCCCUGGUGGCCUCGCCGUGUGUGGGAACCUUCGAUUUCGCGAUUUUCCUUCGUCGUUCGAACAUAACCUCUCGAGAGUUCACCGAAUAGCCGGUAGGCAUAUGCGUCUCUAUCGCGUACCGAAAGUACGCGGGCAUAAUUUUUACAAAAGCUCUGCCCGUGCACCCUGUGUCUACCUUCUGCUCGAUAAACAAUAUACCAUCGUGUACGCGCCAACGGGCCGACGAGUGGCCUCCCGGUACAAUACCAUCUUAUGACAUUUUCGAGUUCGACCGUUGUUGUCGAGUGCUUAAGUGCUCGUUAUACACGCCGCGUCAAGCUUUUGUGUCGCAGCAACUGUUUUUCAGGCGUCGGUUAAGUGUGUCCGGGACCUGGUCGCGAACCUUUGUUCUCCGCACGCGAAAUCGAGAAUUAAUAACGGACUCGCCAAUGUGCCUCGCGGCGCGCAUUAUUAGAACACGUUAUUUCGUCAACUGAUCUGACAUGUAACGAAUCUGAUGUGUAACGAAUAUUGAGGAACCUAUAAUUAAUCGAUUUGAAAUUGAGCAAUGACAGCACAUUUUGUCAAGAAGUCCGAGUAGUUCUGUGAGGAGAAUAAAGUUAUAACAAAGAUGGCGGAAGGUCAUGAAAGAAAAUGGAGCACAGAAGAAUAAGAAGAAAAUGGACUUUGGAAAUCAUGUAUUUUUUGAACUUUGUAUCUUUAAUAUCUUGAGACUUUAAGAUCUGGAAAUUAUGGAAGCUUUUGGCAAGUCAUUCAG